AGAAGGAUGUCACCCCAUUGAUCGCCAGGGUUGAUUCAGCUUAUCUGGCUGGUUAGGGGAGCGUCCCCUACCCCCCUCACCCUCACCACUCCACAUGCAUCCACCCACCCACCCCAAGUUAUGCCCUUGGUCAAAAAGGACGAACUUCCCUGAUAGAGGAGGACCUUGCUUCGGUCAAGGUUAUACGAGUAGCUGUGCUGGGAGAAGGAGAAGCAGACUCCCAGCGGCACAGGAAGCCGGACUUG
rnacentral:snRNA from 1 species